AUCAGUCUGUGUGUAAUGAAUGAAUAUAAUAUACAAGUUUCACUUUUUGAAUGGAAUUAGUGAAAUAAAUCAACUUUUUGAUGAUAUUCUAAUUAUAUGACCAGCACCUGUAUUAUUUGUAAUUAAUUACAACUGUUAUUUCAUCAGAGGAUUCACCCAAACAAGUUGAAGGUGUAUACAGAUCUAAUCGAGUGUAGAAAGAGAGGAUCAGCUGCAUUUGAUGAACCUCAUUCAAAGAAAAAUUCCUGGACAACAGAGCAGAGCAUCUUGACAGCUGGACUACAUUAAAACUCAACUGGAGAACAACAUGGAAAAUGAUGCCCUUUCUAACAGCAGCCAGUCGGACAAAGAUGACUUCUUUGCAUUCCUUUCCACAAGUCAAGAAGUUGUCUCUCAAAGUAAACACGGCCAUCCCAGCAUCUGCAGCCUGUGAGAGAUUUUUUAGUCAUAUAGGACUCCUUCUCACAGCUAAAAGAUCAAGACUGAAUUGUAAAUACCUUGAGAGCCAAUUAUUGUUGAAAUUCAACAGUAAAAUUCAGUAAGACUGUGUUCAAUGCAGAACAUAGAAGCAAAUACACACAUUCUCACACAUACUAAAACACAUGCUAACACAAAACCUUAAACAUUCUCUCUACACACACUCUUCUGUUCUUUUCCAUAGUCUGUUCUUUUGUUGUCCUGUUUACAUGCAGAUACUGACAAGUUUGUGUUGUGUAAACAUGUGAGAGUAAAUAAUGUGUAAAUACUUGUGACUGAAAAUAAAGAUAGUCAACUGUUGGGAAAAAAAUGUUUAGAGGGCUGUGUGAUUUUGCAUUGAAAAUGACAGCUUUUGUGUCAUUGUACCCAUCAGUCAUGAGAGGACAUGCUGUUUUAUGUAAACCCAGAUAAACAGAAUAGACACUUUCAAGGAGAUGUUUGACUUGCAGCUUCCCAUGUAGUUUGAAAUUCAGGAAUUUUCCUUAAUAUUAUUCAGAUCCAAAGUAACUAUAACUAGCUUGAGUAGUUUUCUCAUUGGAUACUUUGUUACUCUUACUCAAGUAAUUAUUACUUUUACUAUUACUUGAGUAGUUUGUUUUAGAAGUAGCUUUACUUGUACUCAAGUACAAUUUUUGACUACUCUACGCACCACUGGUCCUGCGUAAGCUUGACAACUUGCUGAUAUUUGUCAAGCGUGAACUCAUGAAAGUGAUUAUGAUAGUUGGACAGAAGAAAAAAAAUGGUUUAUAGUUAAAGAUAAAAAUAUUAUUUUCAUCACACACACUGAUUGUCUCUCUUCAGAAGGCAUUGAUUCCUCCACUAGUUGUAUGGCUUACCAUUGUGAUUGCUUUUUGUGGUUUUUGAAGCAUCAACCUUUGGGAUACUAUAUCCACUUGCAUUAUAUGAACUAACAGAGAUGGACUGUUUUUCUGAAAAAAAAAAAAAAAAAUAUAUAUAUAUAUAUA